rnacentral:misc_RNA from 1 species
AAGCUCACCUACUUGCUGCA